AGAACCCUAUUUUAUUACAGGGACUCCCAAUGCCACUGGAGCAGCCCGGAGAAAAGAGCCUUGCUGAAGGACACACUGGUGGUGACGACUUCAGAAAUCGAACCAGUGAACUUCUGCUUCCUACCAGUUCCGGGGUUUAGCACACUACACCACAAAAUCAUGCUCAUGGAGACCAGGCACAUGAAUCUUUGGAGCAGCCAACACCCCCACGUGAUCUCCCAUUCUUGCCUCAAGGUUGUGGGGUUCAGGGGCCGUCGUCAUGGUCAACUCAUCCUCUGGCUCAAUGAUGUCCUCAUUAAGAAGUGCGAGAUUGUGAAGCACAGUGCAGUACGCGAACACCUCAGGCACGAAGGCAGGGCUGAUCUAAGGCCUCAAAGAAAAUAGAGCGUCAGCGUGUCUUCAUUAUCCUGAAAGCUCUCUCAACGAUGUUCUAGGCACUGGAGUGAAUGCUGUUAAAACGAGCCUGCACAGGGUUCUGUACAGAAUCUGUAUGGGGUGAUGAGGCAGAUGGGGCAAGGAUAUCCCACAAAGAUGUCAAUAAAUUUCCCCUGGUGGUCUGUGAUGUCCUGGAGUUGGAUGGAGUGAAACAACUUCCUGCUGAAGUAACAGUGGGAGUCAAUUGCUGGUGGUUUCAUUCGGAUAUGACAGCCGUCUAUUGCACCAACUGCACUGCUGAAAGCUGGUGACCCAGCCACCUGUGCAAAUCCUGCUCUCACUGCCUCCAGAUCAUCUCCGGUCGGAGAGCAAAUCACGCUCCUCAAAAUUCCCAGGACUGCUUUGCUUACUCUGAACACAAUAUCAUGCACAGAGAUCUUAGGUAUAUUAAAGGUCUGUGACACCACCCUGUAGGAUCCUGUACAACACAAGCACCUCGAUGUCCCUUUUCCACCCAGGGUCAGAUUCCUGUCUGACUGCCCCAAUGAGGGACCUGAUGGACGGCAAAGACAGGUGAAUGUGGUCAGCUACUUUAUCCAAAUAAAGCCGC
ensembl:lncRNA